AUUGAACGCUGGCGGCAGGCCUAACACAUGCAAGUCGAACGAGUGGCGGACGGGUGAGUAAUGUCUGGGAAACUGCCUGAUGGAGGGGGAUAACUACUGGAAACGGUAGCUAAUACCGCAUACCAUCAGAUGUGCCCAGAUGGGAUUAGUUUGUCGGUGGGGUAACGAAUCACCAAGGGGACGAUCGCUAGCUGGUCUGGGAGGAUGACCAGCCACACUGGAACUGAGACACGGUCCAGACGCAUACGGGAGGCAGCGGAGGGGAAUAGUGCACAAUGGGCGCAAGCCUGAUGCAGCCAUGCCGCGUGUAUGAAGAAGGCCUACGAGUUGUAAGGUACGUUCAGCGGGGAGGCGUUGCCCGCAGAAGAAGCACCGGCUGACUCCGUGCCAGCAGCCGCGGUAAUUC
rnacentral:rRNA from 1 species